rnacentral:rRNA from 1 species
UACGAAGGGGGCUAGCGUUGCUCGGAAUCACUGGGCGUAAAGGGUGCGUAGGCGGGUCUUUAAGUCAGGGGUGAAAUCCUGGAGCUCAACUCCAGAACUGCCUUUGAUACUGAAGAUCUUGAGUUCGGGAGAGGUGAGUGGAACUGCGAGUGUAGAGGUGAAAUUCGUAGAUAUCUGGAGGAAUACCGGUGGCGAAGGCGGCAUCCUGGACCGACAUUGACGCUGAAAACCGAAAGCUAGGGGAGCAAACGGG